UUAAUUAAAAAAAAAACGCUUUCUUGUCCGGCAAUGCCGAUUGGUAUGACCGUUUUUGCGUCCCUCUUCUAACGAAGCAUAACGACCAGCCAUCCCAUUUGUAAUUAUUUUUGAAUAUUCGAUGAGGGUUGUUGACGUCAACCGCCUGUAUUCAAUGGAGAGAGAUGCUAUGCGCUACUAGCCUCAUGUCAUGAAUAGCCAUCUCGAGACAACUCAAAGUUACCGGGGUGUCACGUGUCCUACUUAUAUCAGUACAAUCGUAACAACUUAAGCAUUAUAUUAUAUCAAAUUAACCUCACGUAGCAAAUAAGACAUUCAUUGUUUUGUUUAGCAAAUUAGACACUCAUUGACCUCCAUUCUAAAAAAACUAAAUACGCCACCUGCUGGAGGGAGACAGAUUUUCCGCCGAGUUGGGCCUCUUCCUCCUCUCUGGGAAAACCAAAGUUUUGACAGGAACUAAAUUCCAAAAUGGGGAAGGUACAGGUCGGCCAGGGAAGGGAUUUAAUGGUAGGCCUGCAAGCGUGGUGACCAGUGCCUGUUAUACAGGCAGUAGAGUAGGCCAGGAUGCCAGAGAUGACAGAGAACCAGACUCCUGGCCAUAAACCACGAAAGAAGAAAAACAAGGAAUCUCACAAUGCAGUUGAGAGACAGCGAAAAGAGAAGAUCAAUGCUGGAAUUAACCGUAUUGGGGACCUUCUACCAUGUUCCCAGGCACUUAAGCAGAGUAAGAACAUGAUCCUGGACCAGGCCUACCUUUACAUAAGUGAGCUGCAGAAACAAAAUGACGCCAUGCUUCUGGAAGGGGGAGAACGAGUACAAGUUGAGGAGAUCCGACGGCUGCGGCGUCAGCUGGACGAGCUGCGAAGGGAGAGCGGCCAUUACAUUGAGUUGCUCAAAGCCCACGACAUCAACUUCCUGGACGACCCCACCGUCCACUGGAAGGGAAAGCUGCGCUGUGCAAAGGUCGCCAAAGUAACGCCCACUCACCAGCUCCCCAAAGGAAUUAUUGUCUACUCCAAUGGGAAUGUGAUCUGUCCAGCAGGGAAGGAACCUAGUCCAGCUUCCGAUCUGGGGAAGCAACCAGUCGAGGCUGGGAAUGUUCAGUCGUCUUGUGACAUCACAGUAGGGGAUAGGUUAUUCGGGGCUCUUCAGCACGUCAGUGUCCCUUCCUCUGCCCCUCCGCUCCUCCCUAGGGCAACCCUAGCCCCUAUAGUGUCUACACCUGGCAUCAAGCUGGUGGAACAGUGUGUAGAAGAGGUACUUUUAGCCCCCAAACUACCCCCCUCUGUGUCCUACAUCACCCUCCAGGGUAUCUGCCCUCUCCCCACGGUCACUGCAGCCUUGCCCCAGCCUGCCACCCCAGCCCCUAGUAUCACCGUUGCAGCCAGUCUGGACACCCCACUCUCGCUCCAUCCUGUCCCCAGCUUUACAGCCCUUCCCCAGGUCAUAACCACCCAGAACGCUGCCAUCAGGACUAUGAGCUAUACGACUAUCAACAGCAGCCCAACCGUCCUCGGGGCCAGUGCAGCAGGGAGCACACAGACCACCUGGACUACCUUACAGCUGGCUGGGAACACAGUGCAACCAGUCUGCCAGUCACUCCCCACCCCAGAGACUAGCACCUCUGGGCAGCAGAGUAUCCAACAGAUUGUGGGCACUAAACUAUCAGUUCAACCCAUUCAUAUUCAAAUGAAGCCACAGGUACCCACACAGCCCCAGACAACCAUCACUGGCCAUAUCCAAGCCCAGCCUUCUAUCCAGAGGAAACCCCAGCUACGGCCAGCUAUCCUGGCCCAGCACCAGGCCCAGCCAGUCGUGGCUUCCCAGCCACAGUGUACUGUCCUUCCUCAGUCAGCCAUAAUGCCCCAGCCUGCUGUGGUAGCCCACUCAACUAUGAUGUCACAACCUCAACCUGCUGUACAACAACAGGUAACAGUCCCCUCCCAUCCUAAGACUGUCCUCAUGACUCAACCCCAACCAGCUAUGGUUCCUCAGGUCCAGGCUCAAGCUCACCCCCAGUCAGCUGUUAGGCCCCUCCUUCAGACCAUGCAGGUAUUGCAAAUGAACCCUACUGGGACAGCAGUUGCUGGGGUAACGACUCCCCAGAACACUAACAACCCGAGUGUUGUCAUCCUACAGCAGGCCAAUCCCUGCUCAGCCCAGUCGGUUGUCAGGGACGACUUAACCAAUCAGACGCCUUGUCAGCACAUCGUCAUCAUCCAGGCCUCCAAUCAGCCUCCACCUGCACCUCCUCAGAACCCUCAGGUUGGCAUGGUGCCUGCGGCAGCACCCAAUCAGAUUGUCGCUACCAGCUCCACAACUUCCACCACUGGGCAACAGAUCGUUGGGGGUAAACAGUUGGUUCACAUUCUACCACGUCCCGUCCCUCAAACCCAGACACCCCAAGCCCCCCCGGUUCCGCCGAACCCUCAGACCAUCACUGUGAACGGGCAGGUGUUUGCCCUGCAGCCCAUGAAGACCUCAAAGUCAGGCUGUAAGGGUGGCCAGAGCAGUCUCCAGCUGAUCCAGCCCAGCACCGCUGAGGAGCCCAGCACCGCUGAGGAGCCCACCACCAACAUGGCUCUGCACACCCUGGAAGCCCUCAGCAGUCUCAACCAGAGCUUCUCACAGGGCAUGCCGUCGUGCAUCUCCACCCAGAGUAACGUCCAGCGAACCCUAGCCUCACCAUCCUACUCUAUAGUGCCACAGCAGAAGUUAUCUUCUGUCCCCAUUUUAGCAGCUCCACACAGUUCCCCCGUCAGGCAGAUCCAGAUCCCCAGUGUGACUCCACACAGACCUGGGCUGGCGAUGGGUACAGGGAAGGCCUUGUGGAGACAGCCUGGCACAGCCUCAGUGCCCAGACCUAAGAGGGCCACCACCAAGGGGACCAAGUUAGUGAGGAAGAAGGAGCCCAAACAGGGACGGCCUGUCACCAUCGCAGCGAAGCCAGUUGCUUUAACAGGGGACCAUCUGGAACAAGAGGUCACUGUGCCUCAGGGAAUCCCAUCCUCUGUUGCUGUGACAGUUCAGCCAAAGCCACUCCCUGUCAGCACUACAGCUAACACACCCACAGUUAGUAUUAGUGAGGCUUCAGCACAGACCAGACCUGUUGAGCUUAGUAUCAACUCUACACUGUCCUCUCCAGAAGGUAAUAGUGUGACUACUAGUUCAUAUAGUGGACCAACUGUCUCCAGUGAAUGCACCACACAGAGUAAAACCUCUGUGACAAGUGUCACACCGUGUACUGCAGCAGUUAGUAGUGGUAGUAGUAUUAUUAUUAGCUCCACACAGAGUGAACUCAUUAUCACUAGUGUUGUGAGUCUAGCUACUGUCACUUCUGCAGCAGAUAAACCUACAGUCACUUCAACUGUUUCUUCUCAGAGUCAACAACCUGUGGUCGCCGUUAGUGACAUGUCCACUCACCUCAGACCUACAGCCAGUUCAACUGUUUCUUCUCAGAGUCAACAACCUGCGGUCGCCGUUAGUGACAUGUCCACUCACCUCAGACCUACAGCCAGUUCAACUGUUUCUUCUCAGAGUCAACAACCUGCGGUCGCCGUUAGUGACAUGUCCACUCACCUCAGACCUACAGCCAGUUCAACUGUUUCUUCUCAGAGUCAACAACCUGCGGUCGCCGUUAGUGACAUGUCCACUCACCUCAGACCUACAGCCAGUUCAACUGUUUCUUCUCAGAGUCAACAACCUGUGGUCGCCGUUAGUGACAUCUCCACUCACCUCAGACCUACAGUCACUUCAACUGUUUCUUCUCAGAGUCAACAACCUGCGGUCGCCGUUAGUGACAUGUCCACUCACCUCAGACCUACAGUCACACAGAACAGACAGCCGGUCACUACUACUAUCAGCACUGUGCAAACUAGAUCAGCUAGCACUAAUGGCAGUUCUAGACAGAGCAGAUCUAUGGUGACCGGUGCCUGUUCCACGGUGACCAGGUCUACGGGUGUGAUGUCUUCAGUAGCAUGUCAACCCUCAGUCAGCACUGUAAACUCAAUAGGAAGUAGACCAGUGGUGUCUCUCCAGUCUGCUCAGCUCACUUCGUCAUCACAGGGUCAGACCAUGCCAGCCAACAGCCAGGAGUCUCAGCCUACAACCCAGACACAGUCCCAGCCCAUGGCUUCUCCUUCGGGCCCCUCCACUCCAACCCCCUGCUCCGGUGCCCUGUCUUUUGCCUCACCCUCUGUAACAGUCCCCAUGACCAUGCCAUCAGAAUACAGGAAAUGGGUCCCCUAUAACAGACCCUCGACCCAGCAAAUGACCAUGCCCACUUCCACACCAUCCCAUCCUGCUGAGCUGAAAGUGACAGCGGUGUCAGGCAGGGAGAAGGAACCUCAGGGAGAGGGCCACCCCAGCGCAGCGAUGGAGAAAGCGAGCGUGAGGAGUGAUGCUGCUCCCUCUAGAAUGGACUACACUCUCCCACAGCAGGUGUACGCGCUAGACCACGAACCCAUGGCUCAGCCUCCGGCUCCUAACAGACAGACUGACUCGCUCAUGUCUGGUGGCGCAGGUGGUGGAAGGAGCUUCUCUGUGGCGUCUAUGCUUCCCACAGGCCACAGUGUCAGUUCCUCGCCAGGUCAUUUUGGACCGUUCACUUUUGCCAGCGAGCAGGCUGAUAUCCUGGCUAUGUUGGAGCAGGACAGUCCCGGGAGGAGGGUGGGGGGCUGCACCGUGGACAACUCCACCUCAACAAACACCCCAACACCUGCAUGGGAACCCAACUCCAAGUCCCAGCAAGCCUCCAACAGCAAAGAGAGGGGUGCUGGACAACAGACAAAGCUCACCAAACAGAUGGAGACUCCAGUGGCUAAACAGGUGUCUGUUAGGGGCCAGGCUGGAGAUCAGACAUCCGCAGUCAGACAUCCACAGAACAUCUCCUUCUCCCAGUCCCACUCUCGCCCCCAGAGCCAGGCCCAGUCUGGUACUUCCGGCACCCUCAGCGUCAACAACCUGAUCCGGCCCAGCUCCAGCCAGCAGCAGGCCUACCCAGGCACCCUCAGUCUGGCUGGGCAGCUGGGCUCAGUCCCAUCCCCUGCAGGGAACUCAGCCCAUGUUUCCCAAAACUCCACCCCUGUCCUUCCUCCCUUCUCAGGCUCAGUCCAGCUGAACGAGUACUCCCCCCUGAUGAGGCCCCAGGUGGGGGUGGGUGAGCCGCGAUACAUCAAGGACUUGUCCAAGCGGCCAGCCCAGGAUGAUGUGAUACUGUCCAGCAGUAACAAGCGACAGAAGACCUGCUCGUCGGCCUCUAACGUGGGCCGCAUAGAGGUCAAACCCCUGGACCACAGCCAGAUGAUGGUACCCCAGCUACCCCCUACCACCUCAUCCAUCAUGACCAGGAUCAACCCAGACGGAGUGGGUACCCUGUUCUCGGGCAACACCUUCAUGAAUACAAUGCUCCGACCCACCGAGAGCCACUGCACCCCCCAGCUGCACACACAGGAACACAACCAACCAGGUGUGCUCCACCUGCCCCAUGGCCACCCCCAGCAUGGUGCACCCCAGCCAGGCCAACACCUCGGGGGGAACCCCUACCUGAAGCAGCAGCAGCAGCAACAACAGGAGCACCAGAGGCACCACCUGUACCAGCUCCAGCACCACCUGAUCCAGCCUGACCCUGCACAGCUCCACAGCCUCCACCAGAGGGCGCUGCAGCAGGUCCAGAAGAAGCGGGGGCUGGUUGGAGGGGGUCAGAAACAACACCACCAGAAGGGAGGAGUUCAGCAGCACCAGCAUCAACAGUCACAACAAUCACAUCAACAACAACCUCAAACACACCAGCAGCACCAGCAACAGUCGCAGCAACAGUCACAACAACAGCACCAACAGCAAACACAACAACAGCACCAACCACAAGCCCUGUCACAGCAGCAACAUCUACAACAACACCCUCAACAGCAGCAGCAGAGCUCCCACUCCAGACACCAGCACCUCCAGCAGCAACAGAUCCAGCAGCAGCACUUUGGGUCGCAGCACCAGGAGAAGAGCUGUGAGGCCCAGCCAGGACCAGCGGGACCCAGAGGUCACCACAGCAGCCACCUGGCCCAGGAACACCUCAAGUCUGAUCAGGACCACAGCACCAUGCAGAGGCUGAUGAGCUCUAGAAACCUGGAGCAGCACCUGACCUCCCAGCCCAGCAACCCUGCCUCCCAGCCCUCCGACCUGGGCUGUGCCCCCCCGCGCCAGGAUCACCACCGGGUCUCCAGCUACUCUGCAGAGGCCCUCAUUGGGAAGGGCUCGUCUAGUGAUGAGCAGCAGCGCAUGGUGCUCCAUCUGCAGGCCACCCGCGGUACUACACAGGAACAGCCAGACCUACGGGGAUACCUGGACACACCCAGAGUGAAGGGCAACGUCACACACAACCCUCAGAGCCGGCUGCCCCCAGACCACCCAGGUUCUGCAGACGUCCAGAGGGUCUCUGAGUGUCCUCCAUUUAAAACAAUGGCUGGUGCUGAAGGGGGGCAUCAGCUGGGGGGCUUUGAGGACACGACACCUAAAUCAGGUCCCUCUCAGAGAGGCCAGCAGGGGGGUUUCAGGAUGAACCCGGGGCCUCCAGGGGAUGGGCGAACCCGUGGGGGGUACAGUGGACCCCAUCCUGGGACGCAGGGGGUGCAGAUUGGUGCUCCAGGUCUUACCCGGGACCAGGAAGGGUGUCAUCAAAGUUUUAUGCAGAGUCUCCUGGAGCAGAACGACCACCAGAGGGCAGUCCAGUGCUGUCCUCCGGUCAGUAUGGAGUACAGCUGUGUUUCUGGCAACUUGGCAGGGGACAUGCAGGCUAAAGCUUCCAGCCCCAGUGUUCCUCCCACCCAGAAGGCCCCAGCUAUGAGGCUUGGGGAGGGCAACAAGGGCCACAUUCCUCAUGGUAGUGGGAACAUGGGCACCCACCCAGGGGUACGGACAGGCCUCCCCCACCCUCUUACCCCCCACAGCAGCUCUGAGCCAGGCCGCACCACAGCCUCCUCCAGACCGCCCACCGCAGUCAGCCAGCGCUCCCGCCAAAUUACCCAGGAGGCCCAGAGCGGGAAGCUGAGGCCUGGAGAGCGACCACGGUCAGGCAGCCUGAGACCUGGGAACCCCUUUGAGCCUGACGUCCACCUGCUGGGUCGACCACAGUCAGGGAGUGAGGCGCGGCGCAGCAGUAUCGUUCGCUUUAUGGCAGACAGUGCCCAGGUCGCCGGGGACAACAACCUGGUGCCUGACCAACACCUGGCCCAGAACUUUGGCUUCUCCUUCAUGCCGGAUGGAGGAAUGAACCUCCCUCCUAUCAACACUAACUCUACUUUCAUCCCCCCUGUUAGCCAGACCAACUCCUCCCGCCCCUCGGCCCUGCUCCCCGUAGAACCGCAGAACACCUUACCCUCCUUCUACCCCUCCUACCCCCCUGCCGCCCACCCCAGCCUGGCCAGCGACAUCCCCAUCCAGUACUUCUCCAACCAGAUGUUCACCAGCCCCAGCGCCGACAAGAGCAGUUCUGCCCCCCUCAACAACCGCUUCGGCUCCAUCCUGUCUCCCCCGCGCUCCGUAGGGUUCGCCCAGGCAACCUUCCCCCUACUCUCAGACAUGCCCCCUAUGCCCAUCAGCAACUCCUCUGGCAUCACCCCACACCUGUCCAACUUCAGCCUCACUUCGCUGUUCCCUGAGAUCGCCACGGCGAUGCAGCCUGAUGGUUCUGUCAUGCCAAUGUCCCCUUUGCUGUCCCUCUCCAACAAUUCCUCUGCAGACUCAGGCAAGCAGCCCAACCGCCUCGCCCACAACAUCAGCCAUAUCCUGGGGCAUGAUGGGAGCUCUGCCGUGUAGCGUUUUUUCAAGCGUCCGUUUAAUCUGACGUCCCUUGUUCUACCGGCGGUGUUUCACUCUGGAGGGUGUUCACUUCCUGGAGUGGAAGUGCAUCUUGGGAUUCUGGCGUUGUAGCUGCUGAGGUUGUCGCCUUGGAGUCCUCCUCCAGUGAUAGCAGAGGAGAGGGAGAGCAGGGUCCUGACUGCUGAUUGGCUGUUCUGAGGUGUUGAGUAGCUGGAGGGUGGAGUCAUCAGGCAGAAAGCAGUGAUCUUCUCUGUCCCCAUGAUGCUCAGGCUCACUGAUAGAGGGACAUGUUUGGGCUCUCCACAGGCAGAAGGGGAUGAAGGCUACGAUGAUGAACACGAGGGCCCCCAGGACCACGCCCACUAUGAGGUAGGGGAGGUCGCUGGGACGGGGCACAGGCCCCCCAGAGUGCUCUGGUCUCUGGGACGACGUCUCCGACGGGGAGGGCCGCUGGUUCAGACGAGCUGGGGGAGGGAGGGGUUCAUUUAGUUGAUGUAACAUUUAUUACAGUCAGGCUAUCAAAUUCAUUCUAGAAACAAUGAUGCUUUUUUAGCAUUUCUCUGUGAGAGUACACGUGUGAAUGAGAUGGCUAUACAGGUAGAGACAGAGAUCUGCUUACCUUUAGUUUCUAAGAUAACCACGUUGCCAAACUCGCUCUCUCCCCCCUCGUUGAAGCUCUGCAUCUUGAUGUCGUAGGCCGUCUCAGGCUGCAGGUCACUGAUAGAGUGCCAGUAGCGGUCACCCUCCACCACGUCCUUCUUAUAGUCACUGUCGUUGUCACUGUCUGUCGGCCGGUAGAAGAUGUAGAAACCGUAGACAGGGGUGUUGUUGACGGCAGUGUACUGUGGUGAGAAAAUAUAUGAAAGAUUGAAUAUUUACAAAAUGAUAGUAAUUUGAGUUUUCAGCCAUACGUAUAAGAUAACAACACAAACAUAAAGGACACAGCCUGUUCCACUCACUGUCCACUUGAGGAUGAUGGUGGUCUCGUUGAUGGCUUCAUUAUAAGUGAUGUAGGGUCCGUCUACAGGGCGUUCGUUGGGCCUGCCGCCACCCAACACCGUGUAGGCCUUAGAGGGGACACUGGGGGGGCUGGCGCCAAUCACAUUCACUGCCAACACACGGAACUUAUAAGACAUGCCUACAGGGAAACAGAAAGCACACACGGGUUAAAAUAACCAAACAAACCUCUGUCUUUCUCUGACCACACAUGGUGACCAGAUGGUAACCAUGUUGAUUACUUAGUCAUUAUUCAAAUAGGUAUGAUUAUGAUGAUUAUUAAAACAGUAAUGUUGAUGAUAAUCAGUCAUGCUAAUGAUGAGGAUGACGAUGAGGCCAUUUGUCAUGAGGGAUAACGAUGAUGAUGGUAAUGAUGGUGAUGAAGCUCACCUUUCUCCAGGCCAGUGAUCUCCACAGACAGUCGUUGGGGGGGGAUAUUAGUGACAGCCACCUCCCAUUCCCCCCCUCCCUUCCCCUUCAGCUUCUUAAACUCCACCUGGAAUGACUGGAUGGGGAAACCACGGUUACCGCGCGGGAUCCACGUUACGUACGCAGACGUCUCUGUCGCCGUGGAGAUUGUGGGCUUAUCAGGGGCCUCGGGAGCUGUGGAAAAGUGAUAGAAGUUAAACGGACAUCAAAUCUAUUAUUGGUCCAUAUUAAUGCACACAUAACCACACUGACACAAGGACAGACUCACUCUCAAUACCACUAACGCUAAAACACUCACAGACACAAGCAGGUAACGUAGACAACGUACAAAGACUUACUGUGAGCUCAUCCUUUAGUGUUAAAAGUGAAAGAGAGAUCAAGACAGAUCACAUGUUAGUACAGAGUAGAAAGGUGAGGGGGUUAACAGUUAAAUAACAACUCUGUCAGGAUGUUAGAAACAGCUGAAAGGGCUAUUAAGAGUUGUAACUGUGGUCCAUCUAUGUUCCAACCAUACUGGACAGUAGGAGAGGGGGGCGGGGACUUACGAGAGAGGCGAGGUGAUGGUACUGCAGGAGUUUUAGGGGGCUCGUUCUGUCCCCCUGGACCCCUACGACCUGUUGGCACGGAAACGAGUAUUAGCAAAAAGACACAAAUACCGGGGAAUGCGUCAACAUGGGGACAUUUAUGAUAAUAAUUUUGAUGAAUCGAUAGGUAAAUAAAUGUACCUUUGCCUGUCCUGAAGGUCAUCAUGGCCGGUUGUCCCAGGCCAGCACAGUUCUUAGCAGACAUCUCCACCUCGUACAGACUGGCUGGCUGCAGCUUGGCCAGGGUCAGCUUGUGGAGAGACCCAGAUAUACAGCUGCUGGUCCACUCACCUGGAGGGUCCUCAAUCUGAUGGAGAGAAGAGAGGAGGCAUUAGUUAGUUUGUGAGGACAUGUAAAGACAUAUGUCAUUGUAGACAACUUUAUAAUAUCUAUUUCAUUUUCUUUCAUUUUUAUUAGUUGUACUAUUUAAAUAUUGAUUACUGCACUGUUGGGUAGAGCAUGCGAGUUAAGCAUUUCACUGUACUUAUGGAUGUGACAAUAAAACCUGAACUUAAAAUGUC